GGCGGGACACGUGGUAUCCUGUCUGAAUAUGGGGGGACCAUCCUCCAAGGCUAAAUACUCCUGACUGACCGAUAGUGAACCAGUACCGUGAGGGAAAGGCGAAAAGAACCCCGGCGAGGGGAGUGAAAAAGAACCUGAAACCGUGUACGUACAAGCAGUGGGAGCACCUUCGUGGUGUGACUGCGUACCUUUUGUAUAAUGGGUCAGCGACUUAUAUUCUGUAGCAAGGUUAACCGUAUAGGGGAGCCGAAGGGAAACCGAGUCUUAACUGGGCGUUAAGUUGCAGGGUAUAGACCCGAAACCCGGUGAUCUAGCCAUGGGCAGGUUGAAGGUUGGGUAACACUAACUGGAGGACCGAACCGACUAAUGUUGAAAAAUUAGCGGAUGACCUGUGGCUGGGGGUGAAAGGCCAAUCAAACCGGGAGAUAGCUGGUUCUCCCCGAAAGCUAUUUAGGUAGCGCCUCGUGAACUCAUCUUCGGGGGUAGAGCACUGUUUCGGCUAGGGGGCCAUCCCGGCUUACCAACCCGAUGCAAACUACGAAUACCGAAGAAUGUUAUCACGGGAGACACACGGCGGGUGCUAACGUCCGUCGUGAAGAGGGAAACAACCCAGACCGCCAGCUAAGGUCCCAAAGUCAUGGUUAAGUGGGAAACGAUGUGGGAAGGCACAGACAGCCAGGAUGUUGGCUUAGAAGCAGCCAUCAUUUAAAGAAAGCGUAAUAGCUCACUGGUCGAGUCGGCCUGCGCGGAAGAUGUAACGGGGCUAAACCAUGCACCGAAGCUGCGGCAGCGAC
rnacentral:rRNA from 1 species